rnacentral:tRNA from 5 species
GCGCGCUUAGCUCAGCGGUAGAGCAACUCGUUUACACCGAGUGGGUCGGGAGUUCAAUCCUCUCAGCGCGCACCA